GGCUAACGCUGGCGGCGUGUCUUAGCCAUGCAAGUCGAGCGGACUUAUGGGGUAACUUAUAAGUCAGCGGCGGACGGCGGAGUAACACGUAGCUAACCUACCCUCUGGACGGGGAUAACCUACCGAAAGGUGGGCUAAUACCCGAUGUAGUCAUCCUGUAUAGGGGUGAUGAAAGGUGGGCUUCUGUUUACAAGCUCAUGCUGGAGGAGGGGGCUGCGGCCUAUCAGGUAGUUGGUAGGGUAAUAGCCUACCAAGCCGAUGACGGGUAGCUGGCCUGAGAGGGUGACCGGCCCGAGGGGCACUGAGAUACGGGUCCCACUCCUACGGGAGGCAGCAGGCUAGAAAUUUGGGCAAUGGGGGAAACCCUGACCCAGUGACGCCGCGUGCAGGAAGGAGCCCUUCGGGGUGUAAACUGCUGUCGUGUAGGGAGAAGGGUACUAAGGUGAACAAUCUUAGUACUUGACGGUACUACAGGAGGAAGCCCAGGCUAACCUCGUGCCAGCAGCCGCGGUAAGCUACGUAGA
rnacentral:rRNA from 1 species